rnacentral:lncRNA from 1 species
AUUACCUAUUCAUAAGCGUUGGAAUCGAUAUCUGAUGAGGACUAUGGUAAGAUAUUUUCGACAAAUUUCUGAAUUAGUGAUUAUCUAAUUAUUAAUUGUUUAACGCCUUAUUUUCCAAUCUUAGAAAAUCUUAAGAAAAAGGUAAGUAAUAAUCUUCUUUCAAUUUAAUAUCUAUAUAUGAUGAUAAUUCUUCAAAAAAUAUGUGACAUUUAAAAGAACAAUUUGUCAUCAUUUAUUAAAAUUUUAAAUGCAAACUAUAUGAAAAUAUUUCAAAAUAUUUGUUUUGUAAUAUUAUGAAAUUGAGAAAGAAUAUUAAAAACUUUCGGUUUAUAGUAUUCUUCAAUUGCACUGCAAAAGAUCGGAAACACAUUUUAGAUGCAUUUAAGCUAAGAAUUGUUAAAAAAUAAUGUUUCUGUGUAAAAGUUAUUGAAGACUUUUCUUUUGAAUUAUAAUAGACUGGAAGUCUAUAACAGUUAGAUAGCGAAUUAUUCAAACUUUUAUAAUUUCUAGAAUAAUCGUAGUAAAUUAAAAAUCAUCAAUUUAUAUAUACAUUCAGUCCACUACCUAUGCGGAUGAUUAAGUUCCAGAUAUUUCUGCAUAAGUUUCAGAAAGAUCUUAAGACUUUGCCCUAUAGAUCUAAAGACCCUGCUCUAUCAAGAAAAUAUUACAGGAACCCUUCUUCAACGAGAUGUAACUCGGCUUUAAUGAUAGUCAUUGCAACGUGCAGGCUUAAUCCACCAUCUCCCGCUCCAUGGAACGAAAGAGGCAAGACUGAUCCGGCAUGCCUUCCGGUAAAAGAUCCUUCUAACCUCGUCCUCUCGUGCACGGUGUUCAUGGUCUCGUGCACGGUGUUCAUAUAGCAACUGAUACAAGCCGAAAUAGGCGGCGUUCAACGCAGCAAGCAAUUGGUCCCAAAGAAUCAGAAAGACAAACUACAGCUUAAGGAAAGUUCAACGUUGCAUUCGUUCAAUUUUGCUUUGCUUUUUGAGCCGCGGAUACCAGGCUCAUAUCGUAUUCUGAGUCCUGGCCAGAAGGCCAAUCACUCUGCUCCACCUGAAAAGGUAC